ACAUAAUUCACGCAACCCCAAGGGGUUCAAUUUUCACGACGGCGUUGAUUGCCCGUGGCAUCAUUCAGUGCGGGAAAAGCCAUUGUUGCGAUACUUCUCAUUGAACAUCAAUUCUUUCGGCGAUGAAUAACAUCAUUUGACAACCAAAGAAGAGGCGUCGGUUGCCAACUCAUUCUAUUGGUUUUCCAGCUUCCGAUAAGACACAGCCAUCGGCGAGCCAUUCAAGAGCAGAUCCCGCAGUGGCAAUCCACAAAGGUCGGUUGCUACUCUGAAUAUCACCGUGGAUUCCAUUUCCCAUGUCAUGCAGAUGGAGACAUUGAGCGGCACCGCUAUCUUCCACUCUGGAGCAAUUACCUUUGUACCAUAAUCUCUAGUCACUACUGCAAUUCAACGCACUGAACCAGGCAUCUCAGUUUACAGUGUAAACUGCUAGACAUGACCACCGACCCGACCCGAGAUCAAUGGACGAUUUCCACUGGCCAGAUACUUGUAUCAGCCUGCGAUUGUGUCUGACUCGAUGGCCCCUCAGCUCGCACAGUGGCGCGCCGUGUUUCAUGCUGCGAGGAAUGCUCGACAUCAUCUUUUCGUACCCGAAGAAGUCAUCCUUGACUGGCUGGAGAACAGUUACCAAUCUCGGAGGAGAGCAAUAUCAAAGUUUCGGUAUCCUCCCACUCUCUGAUCUGCAAGAAUGUUAUCUUGCGUUAUUCUU